GCGAUUGUUGUUUUGUGCACGCAUUGACAUUUUCUUGAUUUUUUAUUGUGUUUUACAUUUAAAUUGAAGAUAGAACUUCAUCAGAAUGAAAAUUUCAAUCAUCCUUCGUUUGUGAUCAGCAUUUUCUUGUUAAAUCCAAACAUUAUUCAACAUUUUCAAUAGAAGAAUUGGAAUAAGAAUUUUUUAUGGAAAUAUGAAUAGAUAUAAAUUCCCACCUGUAUUUUCUCCUUCGGAUGUGUAUGAUAUUUUCCUUUCUGCCUUGUCCGCGAGCGAAUAUAUCCCAUGUUUAUGGUGUAAUAUUAUAUCGCCAUCACCAUAGUACUUCAAUCUGCAAAAAAUACACUAAUAAAUCAGAAUGAGAGACGAAGAGAAGAGAAUAGAGGAAGAGGUUACAGAAGAAAAAGAAAAAGUUAUAGAAAUAUCAACGCACGCUAUACAUGUGCCAAACGAAUAUGUUUAGAUACCAAUAGAUAAGAGAGAUAAAAAAAGGUAUCUCGAAAAAAAUACGAUGAAAUCCGAAGGAUAAAAUAUUUUCAAUAAGAAUUUUUCAAAAGAAAAGGAGCUUCGUUGAACAAUGAUACAAAUAAAAUUUAAGAAACCAAAUUUUAGUUAUCUUCUCUUUGGAGAAAAUGUUUGAAGGAAUCCUUUUGAAGGAUUUUGGUGAUUAUCGAAGGUGGUUGAAGAAAAAUAAGCAUUCUUUUAGAGUAAGAAAAGAUAUCGAAGAUGGAUAUUUUUGUAAGAGAUGAAUGCUCCAAGAGAUCUCCGGAUGCUGCGCAAGCGUGAUCCCUCGUCUCUUAUUGGCCUUUGAAUCACAACCAAUCCAGAUUCAGAUCUCCCCACUUGUCGAAUGGUCCAGCCUCUCGACCACUCUUGUCAGAAUCACUUUCGCCGCCGCUUCUUAUCAAUUAUCUCCCUCUCGAUUCCAAUUUUUUAUCCCCCCCUUCGUAAACUCACGGUCCAGCAUUAAAAAAAAAAAAAUUCAAAAUUAUUUCAUUAUUCUAUUAAAAUUUUUCUUAUUAAAAUUUCCCAAAAAAUUAAUCGUCGUAACAUUUAAACCGAUAUAUCAUUACUUACAUUCCAUCAAAGUUUCUUGACCUUAGCGAGAGAGAGAGAAGAAGAAUCUUCGUAUUCGUAAUAAAAAAAAAAAAAAAAAAAAAAAAAGGAAGAAGAAAGAGAACGGGGACGCUUUUUGCAUACGAAGCACGGUUUCUCUGGCGCAUAAUCGUUGCGCAAGCAGGGACUUAUCGUCGCGAUGAUAAAGAAGACCGGUUUCCUUCGGCCACGAGGAAAAAUUACACGCGAGGAAAUACAUCGCUCGUUCGAAUCACCGGUCGCUUUCCUCAAACGCAACCGAUUGCGAGCCGGUCUACUUUCGACUUCGUAAAUCAUGCAUCCGAGGCGUAAAAUGUUUUCGUUUGUUUUUGCUUCUUUCUCUUCUUUUUUUUUAUUUUUUCUUAUUUUUAUCUAUUUUCUUAGAAUCGAUGAAAGAAACCUAUUUGUGUAGAAAUUGUACAGAUGAAUAGAAUGAAAUAGAUAAGACAAGAAUGUAUCAAGAUGUGAUAUAUGUUACAAAGAUUAUUUAUAUUUAAUUAAUUUUAUGAAGCAUAGCCAAUAUAGAAAAUUUUUAUGGUUACUAAGGAAGAUACUGAUUCAGGAUUAAGAAAAUAUUUGAUAACAUACCAUAGAUAUUGAAGGCAUAUGUUGUCUUAAUCCGUACGGAAUACUUUGUAUGAAACUCACAUAUAGGUGUGUAGUCAUGAGAUGUUUAACAAAAUUUUCGCAGAGGUACGAUGAAUUUUAUUCGAUUUUAUCGAUGACCGACAUUCUGGAUUCGACUUCCAAUGGAACAGAUUCAAUACGCUAUUUAUAAUAUAACGAUGUUAAUAUUAAUAACCUAUUUGAUGAUCAAUACCUGAUUUGUUCUAAAUAAAUAAUAAA